rnacentral:misc_RNA from 1 species
GAAUCUAUGCCUUUGAAGAAAUCUAAAGUUACUGCUUAACGACUAUAAAUUGAAUAAAUGCUUCUGUAUUUUUGUUCUUCAAAGUAUUACAAUCUGUAAUCAGUUUUUUAGGUUCUCAUAUUACUUUUAGUCCUUUCUAGCUUUUGUCAUACCAAACUAAUGUUAACAAUGGCCUUCUUAUUUCUGACACAGAUGAAGUAGUUGUGUUUCUGGAGAAUCUGGCAAAAGAUGUGGGCAUUCAAUGCAGGACACUCGAGGUACAUAUAUUUGAGCUGAAAAAAUAAUAACCUCAACAAGGUUAAAUAAAAUGUAUAUUAGACAGAGAUUAUUAAAAGUAAACAAUUACUUGACUAUUCAAAAAAACAAAAAACAAAAAAAACAACAAAAAACCCGAUUCUUUUUCGAUCCAUCAGAUAAUUCACACGUGUGUUGGCCUCCUUAGAUGCAAAAGAUUAGACACCCCCCCCCCCCCC